rnacentral:rRNA from 1 species
AUACGGAGGGGGCUAGCGUUGUUCGGAAUUACUGGGCGUAAAGCGCGCGUAGGCGGAUUGGUCAGUUAGGGGUGAAAUCCCAGGGCUUAACCCUGGAACUGCCUCUAAUACUGCCAGUCUUGAGUUCGGGAGAGGUGAGUGGAAUUCCUAGUGUAGAGGUGGAAUUCGUAGAUAUUAGGAAGAACACCAGUGGCGAAGGCGGCUCACUGGCCCGAUACUGACGCUGAGGCGCGAAAGCGUGGGGAGCAAACAGGAUUAGAUACCCUAGUAGUCC